rnacentral:rRNA from 1 species
GAUGAACGCUGGCGGCGUGCCUAACACAUGCAAGUCGAGCGGCAGCGAGGGGUGCUUGCACCCUGUCGGCGAGCGGCGGACGGCUGAGUAACGCGUGGGAACGUGCCCCAAAAUGAGGAAUAACUGCCCGAAAGGGUAGCUAAUACCGCAUAUUAUCUUCGGAUCAAAGGAUUUAUCCGCUUUGGGAGCGGCUCGCGUCGGAUUAGGUAGUUGGUGAGGUAAUGGCUCACCAAGCCGACGAUCCGUAGCUGGUCUGAGAGGAUGACCAGCCAGACUGGAACUGAGACACGGUCCAGACUCCUACGGGAGGCAGCAGUGAGGAAUCUUCCACAAUGGGCGAAAGCCUGAUGGAGCAACGCCGCGUGCAGGACGAAGGCCUUCGGGUUGUAAACUGCUUUUAUAAGUGAGGAAUAUGACGGUAACUUAUGAAUAAGGAUCGGCUAACUACGUG